rnacentral:rRNA from 1 species
UACGUAGGUGGCAAGCGUUGUCCGGAAUUAUUGGGCGUAAAGCGCGCGCAGGCGGCUUCUUAAGUCUGAUGUGAAAUCUUGCGGCUCAACCGCAAGCGGUCAUUGGAAACUGGGAGGCUUGAGUGCAGAAGAGGAGAGUGGAAUUCCACGUGUAGCGGUGAAAUGCGUAGAGAUGUGGAGGAACACCAGUGGCGAAGGCGGCUCUCUGGUCUGUAACUGACGCUGAGGCGCGAAAGCGUGGGGAGCAAACAGGAUUAGAUACCCCCGUAGUCC